CCCAUGACCGGAAGUCAAAGUCUUGCGUAGCACCCUGUAUACGGAAGAGACAUGAAACAUCCCACUUUGUUCGUCCGAGACGACGGCUUCGCGGAUUAUUUUUAGAACUGAUUAGUGCAAUAUUUUCCGACCGCAGAGUCUAGACGGGAAAUACCGUCGCUUUGAUUGCACGGAUUCAAUACACCGUUAAUGUGCACACUCUCUCACUGUAAAUGCGUCGCAAUUUUUACAAUUGCGUGUGUAGCACGAGUGCUACCGAUCACUGACAAUAAAUCAUUUGAAAAAAGGAAAAGGGAAAAUUAAUUGAAUCUGUCGACGGCAAAGUACGUUCGCGGGCUUUCGCUGAGAAAGUCGUCGGUAGGACGAAAUUCGUCCGCGGCGACGAGACGCAUUUUCCAAAUUGACGCGUUGCACUCGGCCGCUUAAAAUCUCUGCCAUUAUCUAACUGCAUCGUGCGAUUAUUUGAAUUAUUUCGAUCAGGUGACUCGGUCUCUUCCACGCAGGUGAAUAGGGAUUGAUGUAAUGACCGCGGCUCACGUUUUCCCAGAAGUGUCGGUAUAAUCCAAGCUUGAGAGACACAGGUCACGACAAGUGGUCCUUAAACGAUUCCCAGCGCCUGGGCACGCAACGACGCUGAAAACACAAGGGAGGCCAUUAAAUUUACGAUAUAUUUUAUUUCCUUUCGAUGUACAGCCGAGUAUAUUACGAGGUGAGGAAUGCGAAAGAGACGAUAAAAGAAAAUGACGCGUAUGCAAUCGGCUGUUCACUUUCGAAACGCCUUACGAAGCAUCGGCGCGCACACAAUGCAUCGCUGCGAAUAAAAUAAUAAUACCGGAUGCUCCGAAAGUGAUCGUUUUCCGCUCGAAAGAAAGGAAUAAUAUUAACUGCGUCCUCGUACGUUUAUUAAUUUCUAAUGGUCACGACUUGAUUUACUUGAACAAGUACAAUCAAUUUACCAUUCAGCUGUGUAACUUUAAUUAUACGACAUGUAAAAUUAGCGGAAAUAGAGUGAAAAAAAAAUAAAAUCAAACACGAAUGAGUAUUAAAUAAGCCAUGAGGUCGACGGAAAUGUUGCCGUGUUCUCUUUCAUUAUUUCGGAUAUAUUUUAUACAAUAAGUAAUAUUAAUAAUCGAGAAUAUAAAAGAUAAAUAAGCCUACAAUUAUAAAGAAAAAGUCGACGAGUAAUCGGCCCAGUAAUCACGAACGAUGCCCAAUCCUCUCGCGUCGGACGCGAUAGAAAUUUAUGCACGCGUCGAAUUUCCAUUUUUCUACGGUCUUGCGAAAUUCAAAAGGGCGAAAUCGACAAAACUGAUCUAGGCUCGAUAGGCAGGAAGCGCCCGCAUAAAAUGAAUAGCGAACGAGCGUCCUAUCGCUGUAUAGACACGCGCCGGAGCGGUUUCGAUCGCUGCGGACGGUGCAUCGCGAGCGGGGAAUGCAAUUUUAUCGGACCGGUGUUACUGGUUGUGUGCGAUCGCGCUCGUCGAGAGAUAAUAAGCGCAGCGGCGACGAGCCGCGCGCGCCAGUCUCAUCCUGUUCGCGGACGGGACCGCUCGCAGCCGACCGAUACACGGAUCGAUUGUCGUCCGUAACUCUGCGUUAAUUAGUUGAUUAGAAAGAAGAGCGCGAGCGCCGUAAAUCCGGUUGUACGACCCCGUGCGUUGUCCUCUUCCCAACCGAGACCGUGAUACAUUCUGUUCGCUCUGAUCGGCUAUGAGUUCGUCUUCGACGGAGUAACGUUAAAUCUUUACCUGUGCCUCGUCUGCCGAAAUCCCGCCUUGCGUGAUUCAAACUGCGAUUCAAAAGGUUUGACCGCCGAACAAAAUUCGACGACGACGAGAAGGCGAGAGAGAAUCCCGGGGAGGUCCCGUUUCCAUUCAUUUCUCACCGUUUCUAAUCCGCGCGUCGUUUUUCUGCGACACCCCGUGUACAGG